rnacentral:lncRNA from 1 species
GUUCGGCUCGGCCAAAACUGCCCUAGCUGGCAGCAGGGUGCUCGGGCGACGGCGGCAGCGCUCGGGGGAGGCGGCGGCUGGUGGGGGAAACUCCGACGGUGUCGGGGCGACACCGGCAAGGUGCAAGGAGGCAAUGCAGCCUCGGCCAAGGCUCCAAACCGAGAAGAAAAGAGAGAGAGAUGGAGGGAGAGAUGGAGAGGGAGCUACAGAGAGAUGGAACCUCCUUCUC